rnacentral:rRNA from 1 species
CCGCCCCAGGUGGCGGAGGGAAGCCGUUAAGCCCGCCGCCUGGGGAGUACAGCCGCAAGGCUGAAACUUAAAGGAAUUGGCGGGGGGGCACCACAAGGGGUGAAGCUUGCGGCUUAAUUGGAGUCAACGCCGGAAACCUUACCCGGGGCGACGGCAGGAUGAUGGCCAGGCUAACGACCUUGCCGGACGAGCUGAGAGGAGGUGCAUGGCCGUCGUCAGCUCGUGCCGUGAGGUGUCCGGUUAAGUCCGGCAACGAGCGAGACCC